GACGAACGCUGGCGGCGUGCUUAACACAUGCAAGUCGAACGGUGAAGCGCCUUCCUUUUUGGUGGGUGUGGAUGAGUGGCGAACGGGUGAGUAACACGUGAGUAACCUGCCCCCUUCUUCUGGAUAACCGCAUGAAAGUGUGGCUAAUACGGGAUAUUCUGGGUCUGUCGCAUGAUGGGUCUGGGAAAGAUAUUGUUUCGGUGGGGGAUGGGCUCGCGGCCUAUCAGCUUGUUGGUGGGGUGAUGGCCUACCAAGGCGGUGACGGGUAGCCGGCCUGAGAGGGUGGACGGUCACACUGGGACUGAGACACGGCCCAGACUCCUACGGGAGGCAGCAGUGGGGAAUAUUGCACAAUGGGCGCAAGCCUGAUGCAGCGACGCCGCGUGAGGGAUGGAGGCCUUCGGGUUGUGGACCUCUUUCGCCAGUGAAGCAGGCCUGCCUCGUUUGUGGGUGGGUUGACGGUAGCUGGAGAAGAAGCGCCGGCUAACUACGUG
rnacentral:rRNA from 1 species